rnacentral:rRNA from 1 species
CUCCCACCCUUUGCUUACCCUACCUUUGUUGCUUUGGCAGGCCCGUCCCUGGGGCCGCCGGCUUCGGCUGGCCCGCGCCUGCCAGAGGACCCCCAACUCUUGUUUAAUUGUCGUCUGAGUACCAAAAUAAUCGUUAAAACUUUCAACAACGGAUCUCUUGGUUCUGGCAUCGAUGAAGAACGCAGCGAAAUGCGAUAAGUAAUGUGAAUUGCAGAUUUCAGUGAAUCAUCGAAUUUUUGAACGCACAUUGCGCCCUCUGGCAUUCCGGAGGGCAUGCCUGUUCGAGCGUCAUUACAACCCUCAAGCUCUGCUUGGUAUUGGGCGUCGCCGGCUUCCCGGCGCGCCUCAAAGUCAGUGGCGGUGCCGUCCGGCUCCAAGCGUAGUAACCUACUCUCGCUCUGGAGCUCCGGGCGGUUGCCUGCCAGCAACCCCAAUUUUACCACAGGUUGACCUCGGAUCAGGUAGGGAUACCCGCUGAACUUAAGCAUAUCAAUAAGCGGAGGAA